UGGAGAAAAGCAGGGGAUCGCAAGACCUUGCGCUUUUGGAGCGGCCGAUGUCUGAUUAGCUAGUUGGUAGGGUAAAGGCUUACCAAGGCAACGAUCAGUAGUUGGUCUGAGAGGAUGACCAGCCACACUGGGACUGAGACACGGCCCAGACUCCUACGGGAGGCAGCAGUGGGGAAUUUUGGACAAUGGGCGAAAGCCUGAUCCAGCCAUGCCGCGUGAGUGAAGAAGGCCUUCGGGUUGUAAAGCUCUUUCAGUCGAGAAGAAAAAAUUGCGACUAAUAAUCGCAAUUCAUGACGGUAUCGACAGAAGAAGCACCGGCUAACUACGUGCCAGCAGCCGCGGUAAUACGUAGGGUGCAAGCGUUAAUCGGAAUUACUGGGCGUAAAGGGUGCGCAGGCGGCCUUGUAAGUCAGAUGUGA
rnacentral:rRNA from 1 species